GUGAGGAUGUGGAGGAUUUGUUGGAAACUAUUUAAAGCAUAAUUAAUGUUCCCUUUAAAUACACGGAGAGAUAACAGAAUUAGUUGUGGGGGGAAAAAAAAACCCUUUUUCUAAUAAAAUGGAACAUUUUCAAAGGAAAAUAAAUGCUUAAGCAUUGGUUCCUGGCUGUUGGGAGGUGAUGUCGUUUCACUCGAGACAAAGGAGCUUUCUGGAGUGACAUGGCAGAGGAUCAGGUGCUGGAAUUAAAUGGUGGCAUCCAAAGGAAGUUCCCUUUUUUCAGAAUUCUGGAAUACUCUGAGAAAAACAGCCCCCAGAAAUGAUGGACUUGAUCCCAGUGUAUGGAAUGGUGCAAUAAUGUCACGUGGGCAGUGCAGUGUCACUGAAACUGGUGGCUGGAGGUGAUAAGGAGCUCAAGUUUGGAGCAGCGAUGGAAAAUCUCCCAGGGAUGAUUGCUGCUAGGAGUGAAAAGAAAGCAUAAAGACUGGGAGGGAUGCUCUUCAAUGGAAAAUUCACUGUGUGGUCAAAGAGCAGAAGAGUCUGCAGAGAGCUCUAUUUGUGCAUUCUGCAUCGAAGCUGCCGAAUGGACCCUCCUGAGGCUAUGGAUGGACCAGCUCUUGAAGGCUGCUGGUGGAAGAUGUGGCAAAUGCAGGAAUAACCGUGUAGCUGUGCAGAGGACCUCAGGCCAUAGGUGUCUUCUCAGCCGUUGAGGCCUACUUAGGUUUGGGGCCAGAGGGCACCAUUUCUUCCGGUUAAGAUGGCUGACACCGUUGAAAUUUUCAAGCACGCAAUAUUCUUGUCUUUAUGCUACUCUAAUUGUAUUAAUAUAUUUGACCAAAAAAGGGAGAGGUGUUUUUUUUUUAAAAGGCACUUCAUUUGUAUUACACGCAUACUCUCAUGUUAUAUGUGAACAGUUCACCCUCCAUCCAAUUCAAACCUGUUUGAGGCCUCCUUAAUUAAACUAAGUCUUAAAAUGGGGCUUUGAGCAAUUGUUUCAUGCUGAAAAAUAUAUACACAAAGAAAGAAAACGUGUCCCAUUAAUCUUGGGAGUGUAGGAUAUAUUAUUACUAUUAAUUCCUGUAAUCAGGAGGAAAACAUAACAAAUUACUCUUAAUAAGCCUUUCAGACAGAAUUUUCUUAUAAUCUACAGGCUCAUUUGUAUCUAUUUAUUUUUUUUACCAAAUGAAAUUAACACUUGCUGCACACUCUAUAUGACCUAUAUUUGUUCAUUGGCAAAUACGACACAGCCUAAAAUCCGGGUAUUUAUUUAUUUUUAAUGGCCAGCACAAGAUAUGGGGAAAAGUACUUGAUUUUUUUUCAGUAUGUGGAAAGACUCCCACUCUUUCUGUACAUUUCCUUCUUACGUUUCUUAAAAGUGGAAGUUGCAUGAUAAAAGGGAACGACCUUUCUUUGCGGAAUCACGUUCUAGGAAAAUGGGGACAUUUCUCUUACCUUUCAACCCUAGCAAAGUGCUUUGUUGUCUCUCUGAUUUCAGUAUUUUGGCUUGCACGAUUUAAUCUCUGCCAAAGCGAC
rnacentral:lncRNA from 1 species